AGGAUUAUAGUUUAAUUAAAACAUUUGAUUUGCAUUCAAAAUAUAUUGGCUUCAAUUUAUCUUA
rnacentral:tRNA from 1 species